AGCUUCAGGAAGGUAUCUGAAGUUAGACCUGCCCAAUGUAUACUAUAUUAAUGGCCGCGGUACUUUGACCGUGCUAAGGUAGCGUAAUCAAUUGGCUUUUAAUUGGGGUCAGGAAUGAAUGGAGUUACGUGGUUCAGCUGUCUCUAAAGUAAUAAAUUGAAAUUACUAUGAAGGUGAAAAAGCCUUCAUUUAGAAAAAGGACGAGAAGACCCUUAGAGUUUCACUUAAUUUAAUAAUUCUGUAAUGGUUAUAUUUGUAAUUAGUUUUGUUGGGGCAACAUAGGAGCAGGUUAUACUAUUAUAAUCUCUUUCAAAUAAGACUAACCGAUAAUUUUAAAAUUGAAUAAACUACCUUAGGGAUAACAGCAUAAUGUAAAAAAUAAGUUUGUGACCUCGAUGUUGGACUAGGAAACUGAGAGGCUAGCCGUUUUUCAGGAAAGUUUUGUUCAAACUAGUAUUCCU
rnacentral:rRNA from 1 species